UACGGGGGGGGCAAGCGUUGUUCGGAAUUACUGGGCGUAAAGGGCGCGUAGGCGGUCUGCUAAGUUGGAUGUGAAAACUCUGGGCUUAACCCAGAGCCUGCAUUCAAAACUGACAGGCUAGAGUUCUGGAGGGGGAAGCGGAAUUCCUGGUGUAGCGGUGAAAUGCGUAGAUAUCAGGAGGAACACCGGUGGCGAAGGCGGCUUCCUGGACAGAAACUGACGCUGAGGCGCGAAAGCUAGGGGAGCAAACAGG
rnacentral:rRNA from 1 species